GAAAGAAUUGGGAGUUGGCGCCUACAUAACAGGUAGCUUGCUUACCAAGCCGUCCUGGCAAGCUCCUACAGUUCUCUUAUUACUCUUGACUUGACUUAUUAAUAAGAAAACUACUCACUAACAAAAUGAAAGACGGUCUAGAAUCUACCCAAGAAGAUAGAGAGUCCCACAUACGAGAAAAGGUCACAAAUGGAGUUGAACCAAGUAACAUUGCAAAGGCAUAAUGAUAAUCAAAUCCACUUUGAAGUUGACUUAUUCGCUCGGCCAAACGUCGGAAUGUGUACGAGAUACCAUAAGGGCCCAAUAUCUCAAUAGCACCCUUGUCUAAAGCUUCGAAUGAGACUGAAUAUCC